rnacentral:rRNA from 1 species
UAUCUCUGUAGAGUCUGCAUAUCAAUAAGCGGAGGAAAAGAAACUAACUAGGAUUCCCUCAGUAACGGCGAGUGAAGCGGGAAGAGCUCAAAUUUGAAAUCUUCAAGGUUUUACCUUGACGAAUUGUAGUUUAAAGAAGUGUUUUCUGUUGGAGUUUUGGUAAAAGUUCUUUGGAAUAGGACAUCAUAGAGGGUGAGAAUCCCGUAUUUGACCGUUAUUUUCAGCUGUGUGAUACACUUUCAAAGAGUCGGAUUGUUUGGGAAUGCAGUCCAAAAUGGGUGGUAAAUUUCAUCUAAAGCUAAAUAUUGGCGAGAGACCGAUAGCGAACAAGUACCGUGAGGGAAAGAUGAAAAGAACUUUGAAAAGAGAGUUAAACAGUACGUGAAAUUGUCAAAAGGGAAGCGUUUGACACCAGUGUUGUUUUCUCGAAAAUCAAUUAAAAAUGGCUUGAUUUUGUGUUGUAUUGACCUUAAAAGCUUUCUUCACUUUUUUCAUGUCUUUUUUAAUGCACUUUUCGUUUAACAAGUCAACAUCAGUUUCUUUUGUUGUAAAAAGGUCAUUGGAAGGUGGCUUUCUUUUCGGAGAAAGUGUUUAUAGCCUUUGACUCCUGCAAUCGGAGAGACUGAGGUCUGCAGCGUAGAUCCUUCUGGAUUAGAUUCAUUUGUGCUAAGUUACAACCGUUUAUAGACAACUUGUUGACUAUAUUCGAUCCUGUAGCUUACUCGCUUAUGUAAUUUUACCUACGCUUAGGAUGUUGAGUCAUCACACAUCUCU